GCCCAAAAAAAAAAAAAAAAAAAAAAAAAAAAAAAAAAAAAAAAAAAA
rnacentral:ribozyme from 1 species